rnacentral:rRNA from 1 species
CACGUAGGGCGCAGGCGUUGUCCGGAAUUAUUGGGCGUAAAGAGCUCGUAGGCGGUCUGUUGCGUCCGCUGUGAAAACCCGGGGCUUAACCCCUGGCUUGCAGUGGAUACGGACAGACUAGAGGUAGGUAGGGGAGAAUGGAAUUCCCGGUGUAGCGGUGAAAUGCGCAGAUAUCGGGAGGAACACCGGUGGCGAAGGCGGCCCACUGGAUCGGUACUGACGCUGAGGUGCGAAAGCGUGGGGAGCAAACAGG